rnacentral:lncRNA from 11 species
GUCAGGAUGCAAAAAGAUCAGCAUUCUCCAAGCUGUUCUUUUCACACCUGACUACAACAAAUCGGAUAAAGAAGACCAUUUGGCUGGGAAGGCUGAUUUAUGACAGGGUCUGGUCUUCAAACGUGGGAAAGGACAAAAGGAAAGGGAGGUGUGAAUGGAGAAGAGACGUGAAGGGAGGAGGGAAGCAACAACCCAAU